CCACAGAUAAUGUAAUGGAAGCAUGCAGGAAAUGUACUCUUGUUGUCCAGGUUCGAUUCCUGGUUUGUGGA
rnacentral:tRNA from 1 species